rnacentral:tRNA from 1 species
GUCCCGGUACCUCAGCGGGAUAGAGCAACGGUUUCCUAAACCGUAGGUCAGGGGUUCGAAUCCCUUCCGGGACGCCA